ensembl:lncRNA B3GAT1-DT B3GAT1 divergent transcript
CUUCCUCGGGGUUUGCUUCCAGGCCUGACUUUUACUCCCCUUUCUAAGUGUGCAGAUGGGAUGUGCUUCUCCACAGGAGGCCCCACGGCUUCCCCACCCCUCAGAGGAGCGCCGUGCGUGCGUCUGUGUGGAGGAUUGGCAGCUCCUGCAGUCGGCCCUUGGUCCUAUUUGGCGACGCCUCUGCCUUCCCCUUAAUUAUACAGUCAUGAGCCGCCCUGGAAUCACGGCAGCUCCGGAUGGAUCCUGGAUGCCAGAAUGCAGCCUCAGCACGGGGCUGCAGGACAGGAGUGAGCGAGGGGCUGCAGAGCCGGCGGCCGCGGUGGGCACCAUGGAGGGGGCUGCCCUGGGCAGCACGGGCAUGAGUCUCAAGGCCCAGGUUUGAGUAACAGGUGUUGAGAGCUUACUUACUUUUCCUGAGACACAGUUUCCUCAUCUCGAGAGCACGGAAAAUCAUUCUAACUUCAGAGGAUUGUUGUGAAAGUUAAAUGAGAUUAAAGAGGUAAAGCCCAUGACGUGCUUAGCUCGUGCUUGGCUCUUGGUCAAUGCCAGUUAGCGCUGCAUUUUCUCCCCUCUCCCUCCCUCCUUCUCUCUUUCUUUUCUUCUAUUCUCCAUUCCUGUUUUCUCCCCCACCCCACUCCCCAAAGCUCUGCGUUGAGAACCAGAUGCUGUCUGGUGGGUUAGGGCCAGAGGAGGAAAAGCUGCCCGCCGUGGGCUGCACCCAUACCCUCUUCAUUCCAAUGACAUGAGGGGAGGGGAAAGGACAGAGGUAGACUGUCCUCCCCUACCUCCUCCUAAUACAAAUGGAAUUCCUGGAACUGGAAAACAAAGAAUACCCCCAUAAAAAUAAGACAGUACUUCUGGUGCGGUGUAAUAAAGGGGAAAGUAACCCUCAAUGUCAGGAAACUCCGCACCUCCCAGCUCAUAUUUGUGUGGAGGAAAAGUUAAAUAUUAAUUUGGACUCAACUGAAUGUGGACACAAACAAUGGUCACCAAGUCCCGGAACAGGUUGUGUGAGCCUCUUCAGGGGUUCAUCCAGCGCUGUUUUGGAGAAAUCUCUAUUUCAAUUUAUUCCUAUACGUUAGUUACUGAAAAACAACAGACAAUCGCAAAAGCAAGUUGCCCGUUUUGUGUUCCUUGAGCCCAAUCAUGAAGUGCCGUCGUGACUGGGCCUCAUGACAAACAACUUGUAACAAGUAACAACAGAGCUCAGGUCCCAGACCGCACUGAAGCUCUGUGAGACCUCUCCUCAUCUGUGCAUGAACGAGUGUCUGACUCUGGAGCCCAGCCUGCUGCUUCCCAGUCUGGUGGUGAAUCCUCCGUAGUCUGAUGGAGGUUUGCUCUUGUUGCCCAGGCUGGAGUGCAAUGGCACAAUCUCGGCUCACUGCAGCCCCUGCCUCCCAGGCUCAAGCAAUUCUUACGCCUCAGCCUCCUGAGUAGAUGGAACUACAGGGCAUGGACUGGAACUCCCAAUACCCCUGACAUGGGCUGAGUCAACGUGGUCAUGAACAUGUGACAGGAGGCAGCAGAAGUUGCAGAGAAGAGUGAGGCACGUUUGAAAAAGGCUGAAAAAUGUUUCUGUCCAGGCAAGGGUGUGUGCUGAAUGACUCAAGGAUUUUUUGGGCAACACAAACCAACACGAGCCGUGUGAGGAUCAGGUGACAGCUGCCCAAAAGCUGACACAAGGAACAAGCCUGGAGGAGUGAGGAUGGGUGCUGUGAAGGAGGUUGUGCAGCUGGGCCCGCAGUCGGACCUGGUGAGAUCAGAGGAGGGGGUGCCACCAGUCUGUGGACGAAGAUGAGAAGCUGGAAUAGAGCAGAAAACAGGAGGCUGCCACUCUCCAUCUUUCCCAAAGUCACUCCAGGAGCAAGGGUGUCAUUUACUGAAAUGACAGACUCUCCAUUUCACAUUUUUCCCCCAAGUGCAGAGUGCAGGGAAGCAGAUGGGCUAAAUUUUUAGAGUCAGGGUUAUUAAUGUAUACUUUACAUAGUAAACUUUC